GGCUCAGGAUGAACGCUAGCUACAGGCUUAACACAUGCAAGUCGAGGGGCAGCAUUGGAGUAGCAAUACUCAGAUGGCGACCGGCGCACGGGUGAGUAACACGUAUCCAACCUGCCGCUUACUCGGGGAUAGCCUUUCGAAAGAAAGAUUAAUACCCGAUGGUAUAAAGAGUUCGCAUGUUCUCUUUAUUAAAGAAUUUCGGUAAGCGAUGGGGAUGCGUUCCAUUAGAUAGUUGGCGGGGUAACGGCCCACCAAGUCUACGAUGGAUAGGGGUUCUGAGAGGAAGGUCCCCCACAUUGGAACUGAGACACGGUCCAAACUCCUACGGGAGGCAGCAGUGAGGAAUAUUGGUCAAUGGACGAGAGUCUGAACCAGCCAAAGUAGCGUGAAGGAUGACUGCCCUAUGGGUUGUAAACUUCUUUUAUAAGGGAAUAAAGUGAGGGACGUGUCCCUUUUUGUAUGUACCUUAUGAAUAAGGAUCGGCUAACUCCGUGCCAGCCGCCGC
rnacentral:rRNA from 1 species